rfam:Acinetobacter sp. CAG:196 genomic scaffold, scf32
CCGUACUCCACGGGGACUUAGCGGAUCUCUCGACUCGAACGCUUUAUGCGAGGUGCAGAGCCUGCUGUGAGGGUUACAGGCGGAUUGCCUAUGUUUAUAGGAUUGUUGAUAACUUAGAAUAUAAUGGCGCAAGCUAUCGAACCGUGUCAGGAUGGAAACAUAGCAGCACUAAGGUAAUCCUUGCGGGUGUUAUAAUUUUAAGAAGUAGGUUUUAUAAGCAAAAUCAAUUCGGUUGUAUUUCGAUAGGCAGUGGUACGG